AUGCAUCUAUUGGACAGACCUGGAGCAGUUACUGUCUGCUGCUAAGGUUUCCACUACAGAUACGAAAAAAAGGUGUCCCUGUGCUUUCUGACUGAUUGUGGCAGCCCACAUGGAAUGGUGGAAUAUGGAA